rnacentral:rRNA from 1 species
GGCUGAAAUUCGCCUUCAUGAAGCUGGAAUUGCUGUAAUGGCAGGUCAGCAUACUGCCGUGAAUACGUUCCCGGGCCUUGUACACACCGCCCGUCACACCAUGAGAGUUGGAAAUACCCGAAGCCUGUGAGCUAACUUAAAGAGGCAGCAGUCGAAGGUAGAGCCAAUGAUUGGGGUGAAGUCGUAACAAGGUAGC